rnacentral:rRNA from 1 species
UACGGGCGGAGCAAGCGUUGUUCGGAUUUAUUGGGUGUAAAGGGUGCGCAGGCGGUCGACUAAGUCAGAAGUGAAAUGUCUACGGCUCAACCGAGACACUGCUCCUGAUACUGGUUGACUUGAGUGCGGAAGGGGAGCGUGGAAUUCCUGGUGUAGCGGUGAAAUGCGUAGAUAUCAGGAGGAACACCGGUGGCGAAGGCGACGCUCUGGUCCGUAACUGACGCUCAUGCACGAAAGCCAGGGGAGCGAACGGG